CAGGAAGGGCUGCCCGUGACUGGCAGUUUCAACCACCUCUGUAUCUCUAUGGAGACAGCCAACCCUUAAGGCAAAGACUGGUAAACAGGAUAUCUCAGAAAAGACAUCAUUGUACCAGCAAUUUAUGAAGAGCAGGUGGAAGAUGGGAUAAAUUUAAUGAAAGUUUCAAAACAUAAUAGGACUAAAGGCAAUGCAUCAAUUUCUGAAUCUCCAAUCAAGAAGUGCUGGUGAGAUAUUGAAUUAACCAUUCUGGAGACUGAAACCCUCAGUUUUACAUAAGAGGAAAGGGUAGCGUGCCUGUGAAGUUCCCCUACCCUGGCUCAAGCCUGCUUUAGGAUGACCACUUCUAGAGGCAAGUAGGUAGCUCCUGGACAGCUUCUGGCACUUUGCUCAUCAUGGGGAGAGCUGUUCCUGCUCAUGGGGACUGUAAUUGGCUGCACAAGGAUGAAGAUGGCUUUCCAUCCCAUCAUGCACCUGCACAAAGGCUAAUCAGAAUCUGGUCCGUUGUGCUUAGCCUUGCACACCUCACUCCUCAUGUAGUGCAAACCAACGAAGUUUGGCUCCCAAUUUCAGUACCACCAACCCUCAGCAUAGAAAAUCUUGGAUCAGACCCCAAAAGUCAUGAGGAUUGACUUCAAAAUAAUAAACUUGGGAUGCUCUUCA